AUUGAACGCUGGCGGCAGGCCUAACACAUGCAAGUCGAACGAGUGGCGGACGGGUGAGUAAUGUCUGGGAAACUGCCUGAUGGAGGGGGAUAACUACUGGAAACGGUAGCUAAUACCGCAUACCAUCGGAUGUGCCCAGAUGGGAUUAGCUAGUGGGUGGGGUAACGGCUAACCUGGGCGAAGAUCCCUAGCUGGUCUGAGAGGAAGACCGGCCACACGGGAACGGAGACACGGUCCAGACUCUUACGGGAGGCAGCAGUGGGGAAUAUUGCACAAGGGGCGCAAGCCUGAGGCAGCCAUGCCGCGUGUAUGAAGAAGGCCUUCGGGUUGUAAAGUCCUUUCAGCGGGGAGGCGUUACCCGCAGAAUAAGCACCGGCUAACUCCGUGCCAGCAGCCGCGGUAAUAC
rnacentral:rRNA from 1 species